rnacentral:rRNA from 1 species
CAGCCGCCGCGGUAAUACGUAGGGUGCAAGCGUUAAUCGGAAUUACUGGGCGUAAAGCGUACGCAGGCGGCUUUGCAAGACAGGUGUGAAAUCCCCGGGCCUAACCUGGGAACUGCAUUUGUGACUGCAUGGCUAGAGUCUGUCAGAGGGGGGUGGAAUUCCACGUGUAGCAGUGAAAUGCGUAGAGAUGUGGAAGAACACCGAUGGCGAAGGCAGCCCCCUGGGAUGAGACUGACGCUCAUGUACGAAAGCGUGGGGAGCAAACAGGAUUAGAUACCCUGGUAGUCCACGCCCUAAAUGAUGUCUACUAGUUGUCGGAGGGUAACUCCUUCGGUAACGCAGCUAACGCGUGAAGUAGACCGCCUGGGGAGUACUGUCGCAAGAUUAAAACUCAAAGGAAUUGACGG